rnacentral:rRNA from 1 species
AGUCGAGGAUCUUCGUCAAUGGGCGAAAGCCUGAACGAGCGACGCCGCGUGCGGGAUGAAGGCCCUUGGGUUGUAAACCGCUGUCAGGGGGGAUGAAACCGUAAGGUUGACAGAGCCCCAGAGGAAGCACGGGCUAAGUUCGUGCCAGCAGCCGCGGUAAUACGAACUGUGCGAACGUUACUCGGAAUCACUGGGCUUACAGGGUGCGUAGGUGGCUUGUUAAGCAGGGUGUGAAAUCCCUCGGCUCAACCGAGGAACUGCGCUCUGAACUGGCGAGCUAGAGUAUGCUAGAGGUGAAUGGAACAUCCAGUGGAGCGGUGAAAUGUGUUGAUAUUGGAUGGAACACCAGAGGCGAAGGCGAUUCACUGGGGCAUAACUGACACUGAGGCACGAAAGCCAGGGGAGCAAA